AUCAGAAAUGGUGCGAGGGACUUUGGCUAUAUGCUAAUAAGAUAUCAAAUCACUGUCAAGAGCACAGCUGUGUGUGGCUGUGCAUUUAAAGAGAUUGAGAUGGUCUUUACAGGACACGUAUAGAUCAUAUACUCUGGAAAGGACCAGUCAGGUCAGUCGGUCAGGAAGGACUACUGAGAUCAAGAGAAGACUGUUCUGGGCGUAUUCUUUGUCUCCCAGACCGCUAUCACAUUCAGAGAGAAGUGUCGGCAGUGUUGUUGAGGUAAUGGAGGAGAUGAUGCUGAGAAAACUCGGCUGCACACUCAAGGGACAGGGGACAACCAGUGCUAACGUUCAAACCACUCGUAUAAUGUCAGAGUUAAGGAGACUGCAGGCCCAGAGAGGUCAUGAGCAUGCCGUGUGGCAGGCUGAGCUGCAAAAGAAAGAAAGACAGAUCACAGCUCUCAAGGAGGAGCAAGAGCGACUCUUGUUGCUUCUCUGGAGAGAGAGGGAGCGGUACAGGAAUGAGAGGAAGGAUGUAGACAGGGACAGAGAGAGAGAAAGGACCGCGUGGAGGGAGAGGAUGGAUGACCGAGAGAGACAUGUACUGACGACCGUCCUGGCUGUGACAGAGAUGAAACUGACACUGAAUUGGUCUGCUGGUCCUGAAGUUCAACAGAUAAACACCGAAACAGUUCACAGGGAAUUUCAAAGAAAUUACACAGGGCAGGCAAAGAAAAGAUGGCCGAUGCCAAGGAAGUUGGAGAGAGGUUGUAACUUGGGAGGACAGAAAUGUAAAUAUGACAUGACUGAGUCCACUUCAACCUUAACACCAGUUAUGGUAACAGAUAUGAUAAAAGCAGAUGAGCAGGAGGCACUAAGGGCACAAUUGCUGGAGAGACUGAAAGGGAGAGGAAUAAAAGACACAGAGCAAAAGGGAUAUGGAGAGGGGGUCACCACUGGAGAAGAGAAGGGAUUCUGGAGUCUGCACGGGUUUAGUUGGUUUGGCAUCACAAGAAAAAACACAUCACAUGGAAGGGAGUCUGGGGAAAGAGUCCAGUGUGAGAGUGCAUGUGUAUGUGCAAUUCAGGCAAUGAGGCAAAAAUAAACAAACACUGAUUUAAAAUCAAA